GACGAACGCUGGCGGCGUGCCUAACACAUGCAAGUUGAGCGACGAACCAGGGCUUGCCCUGGGGCAAAGCAGCGAACGGGUGAGUAACACGUGGGUAACCUACCCCGAUAACCGGGACAACCCGAGGAAACUCGGGCUAAUACCGGAUGUGCUCACCGGACUUCGGUUCAGUGCGUAAAGGAAGCUUCGGCCUCCGUAUCGGGAGGGGCCCGCGGCCCAUUAGUUUGUUGGUGAGGUAACGGCUCACCAAGACCGCGAUGGGUAGCUGGUCUGAGAGGACGAUCAGCCACACUGGGACUGAGACACGGCCCAGACUCCUACGGGAGGCAGCAGUGGGGAAUCUUGCGCAAUGCGCGAAAGCGUGACGCAGCAACGCCGCGUGGGGGAAGAAGGCCUUCGGGUUGUAAACCCCUUUCAGGAGGGACGAAGGUUCGGCGGUGAAUAGCCGUCCGGACUGACGGUACCUCCACAAGAAGCCCCGGCUAACUACGUG
rnacentral:rRNA from 1 species